GGAUGUGAGGGCAAUCUGGCUGUGACAUCUGUCACACCAUUCAUUGAUUCAGCUAAUCUGGCUGGCUAGGCGGGUGUCCCCUUCAUCCCCCCACCUCUCCAUGUGUGUCCCUCUGGAAGCUGCGCUCUCGGUGGAAGAGGAUGGCCUUCCCAGAAUAGAGACGUACUAGUCUUCGGUAGAGGGUAUAUGAGUAGCUGCGUUCCCCUGCUAGAACCUCCAAACAAGCUCUCUUAGAACUGUCGUUUGUAGCAAAUAUGUAUCAAAAAUAUCUUCAACAGAAAAGAUAAAAUUUUCAAUACUAAAAGUACAUCAAAAACAUAUAUUUUUU
rnacentral:snRNA from 1 species